rnacentral:rRNA from 1 species
AGAGUUUGAUCAUGGCUCAGAACGAACGCUGGCGGCAGGCCUAACACAUGCAAGUCGAACGAAGGUCCGGAGCUUGCUCUGGAUACCUUAGUGGCGCACGGGUGAGUAACGCGUGGGAAUCUGCCCCGGAGCGGGGAAUAACAGUUGGAAACGACUGCUAAUACCGCAUACGCCCUUAGGGGGAAAGGCUUCGGCCACUCUGGGAUGAGCCCGCGUUAGAUUAGCUAGUUGGUGAGGUAAUGGCUCACCAAGGCUACGAUCUAUAGCUGGUCUGAGAGGAUGAUCAGUCACACUGGGACUGAGACACGGCCCAGACUCCUACGGGAGGCAGCAGUGGGGAAUAUUGGACAAUGGGGGAAACCCUGAUCCAGCCAUGCCGCGUGAGUGAAGAAGGCCUUAGGGUUGUAAAACUCUUUCAGUGGUGACGAUGAUGACGGUAACCACAGAAGAAGCCCCGGCUAACUCCGUGCCAGCAGCCGCGGUAAUACGGAGGGGGCUAGCGUUGUUCGGAAUUACUGGACGUAAAGCGCACGUAGGCGGCGCGUCAAGUUAGGGGUGAAAGGCCUGGGCUCAACCUAGGAACUGCCUUUAAUACUGACGUGCUAGAAUGCGGGAGAGGGUAGCGGAAUUCCAAGUGUAGAGGUGAAAUUCGUAGAUAUUUGGAAGAACACCGGUGGCGAAGGCGGCUACCUGGACCGUAAUUGACGCUGAGGUGCGAAAGCGUGGGGAGCAAACAGGAUUAGAUACCCUAGUAGUCC